rnacentral:rRNA from 1 species
UACGUAGGGUGCAAGCGUUGUCCGGAAUUAUUGGGCGUAAAGAGCUCGUAGGCGGUUUGUCACGUCUGCUGUGAAAACCCGAGGCUCAACCUCGGGCCUGCAGUGGGUACGGGCAGACUAGAGUGCGGUAGGGGAGAUUGGAAUUCCUGGUGUAGCGGUGGAAUGCGCAGAUAUCAGGAGGAACACCAAUGGCGAAGGCAGCUCUCUGGGACGGUACUGACGCUGAGACGCGAAAGCGUGGGUAGCGAACAGG